AAACUACAUACAAUAGCGGAGGAAAAGAAACCAACAGGGAUUGCCCUAGUAACGGCGAGUGAAGCGGCAACAGCUCAAAUUUGAAAUCUGGCGUCUUCGGCGUCCGAGUUGUAAUUUGCAGAGGGCGCUUUGGCAUUGGCAGCGGUCCAAGUUCCUUGGAACAGGACGUCACAGAGGGUGAGAAUCCCGUACGUGGUCGCUAGCCUUUACCGUGUAAAGCCCCUUCGACGAGUCGAGUUGUUUGGGAAUGCAGCUCUAAAUGGGAGGUAAAUUUCUUCUAAAGCUAAAUACUGGCCAGAGACCGAUAGCGCACAAGUAGAGUGAUCGAAAGAUGAAAAGCACUUUGGAAAGAGAGUUAAAAAGCACGUGAAAUUGUUGAAAGGGAAGCGCUUGCAGCCAGACUUGCCUGUAGUUGCUCAUCCGGGUUUCUACCCGGUGCACUCUUCUAUAGGCAGGCCAGCAUCAGUUUGGGCGGUUGGAUAAAGGUCUCUGUCAUGUACCUCCUUUCGGGGAGAUCUUAUAGGGGAGACGACAUGCAACCAGCCUGGACUGAGGUCCGCGCAUCUGCUAGGAUGCUGGCGUAAUGGCUGUAAGCGGCCCGUCUUGAAACACGGACCAAGGAGUCUAACAUCUAUGCGAGUGUUUGGGUGUCAAGCCCGAACGCGUAAUGAAAGUGAACGGAGGUGGGAACCUUUCGGGGUGCACCAUCGACCGAUCCUGAUGUCUUCGGAUGGAUUUGAGUAAGAGCAUAGCUGUUGGGACCCGAAAGAUGGUGAACUAUGCUUGAAUAGGGUGAAGCCAGAGGAAACUCUGGUGGAGGCUCGCAGCGGUUCUGACGUGCAAAUCGAUCGUCAAAUUUGGGCAUAGGGGCGAAAGACUAAUCGAACUAUCUAGUAGCUGGUCCUGCAGAUUCCCCCC
rnacentral:rRNA from 1 species